AUGAACACUCUGAACUAAACCUAGCCCUAGCCACACACAAAUAUAAUUAUAUUAUUUUAUAAAUCAAAACAUUUAGACCACUGAAAGUAUUGGAGAAAGAAAUCGUACAUCUAGGAGCUAUAGAACUAGUACCGCAAGGGAAAGAUGAAAGACCAAUUAAAAGUAAAAAUAAGCAAAGAUUAAACCUUGUACCUUUUGCAUAAUGAAUUAACUAGAAAACUUCUAGCUAAAAGAAUUACAGCUAGAGA
rnacentral:rRNA from 1 species